GGCAUGAGGCUCGUGGAUGUCUCAGGCAGAAGGACUCUGCUACUCACCACAAUUCCUGUGCUUAUAGGCUCCCUCAUCGUCCUAAUAAUCGUCCAACUGGUGGACUUGGGUACAGUCGCAGAUGCAGUGAUCUCAACUGUUUGUGUUGUCAUCUACUUCUGCUGCUUUGUUAUGGCUUAUGGGCCAAUUCCGAAUAUCCUUUGCUCAGAGAUCUUCCCCACAAGAGUUCGUGGACUGUGCAUUGCCAUCUGUGCCCUAGUUUACUGGAUUGGGGAUAUCAUUGUUACCUAUACACUGCCUGUAAUGCUAACUUCAGUUGGCCUAAAGGGUAUCUUUAUCGUUUUUGCUGUCAUGUGUGCCAUCUCUUGGGUCUUCGUCUUCCUGAAGGUCCCAGAAACCAAAGGUAUGCCCCUUGAAGUCAUUACAGAGUUCUUUGCCGUUGGCGCAAGACAAGCUGCUGCUGCCAAGAGUGAGUGACAAAGCUUGGAUGGCCUGCUGAUUAUUAUGCAGUUUGAGCUGCUAAAGAUGUCAUUAUAUUGAGAACAAAGAUCUUAUAAUUAAACAAUUAAAUGCCAUUUUUUUUUUUUUUAAAACAAAA
rnacentral:misc_RNA from 1 species